UUACGGUCAAAUCACGCUGAAAACACCGGUACUCGUUCGAUCACCGAAGUUAAGCAUCGUAGAGCCAGGUCAGUACUU
rnacentral:rRNA from 1 species